rnacentral:rRNA from 1 species
UACAGAGGUAGCGAGCGUUGUCCGGAUUUACUGGGCGUAAAGGGCUUGUAGGUUGCCUUUUAAGUCAGGUGUGAAAUCGUUCCGCUUAACGGAACAAUUGCAUUUGAUACUGAUUGGCUUGAGUGCAGGAAGGGAAACUGGAAUUUCCGGUGUAGCGGUGAAAUGCGUAGAGAUCGGAAAGAACACCAGUGGCGAAGGCGGGUUUCUGGCCUGCAACUGACACUGAGGAGCGAAAGCCAGGGGAGCAAACGGG